AAUACCUAGAAGAAAUCUCUAAACAGAACAUAACAACAACAGCUGCUGCUUAAAUAUGUGCUCUUUCUCUCUCUCUCUUUUUAAUAAACUAAAGCUCUUUAACCGAUAUAUAUUUUGUAAACCAAAGUUAAAUAAAUUGUCCGUUAUUUUUUGAAAAAUAUGAAGUUAAACAGAAGCACUGCGUUUAAGUAAAGUAAUAAAAUUAAACAAAAAAAUAAAAUAAUUUAAUAAAUAAAGCCUUUAAAACAAAAUUUAGAUGAAAUUUAUGAAAAUCAUUUAAACAAAAAUAAUUUAAAUUAAAUAUAACAAACAAAAUAUUAAGAAAAUCUUAACAAAAACAACGUUAAAGUAAAUUUUAGAAGAAAACCAAAACCCUUAAUAAAAUAAAUUUAUUAAAACAGACAAACAUUUUUAGUAAAAAAUAACAAAGCAUUACUUAGGCUGUUAACAAAAAUUUGAAAAAAAAAACAACAUUAAAAAUUUCGAUGAAUUGUAUUAUGAAAAACAAAAUAUUUAACAAAAAACCUAGUUAAGUUAAAUUAAAAAAAUUUGUUUGUUUACUUUCCUGAAAACAGCUGCUAAUCUGUUAAUUACUCUAAAAUAGUUAUGGUUUUUAUUUUGUUAUUAAUUUUUCUUACUAAACUAUUAAACUUUUAUUAAAUUAUAUAACUCUUUUCUCUCUCUCUCUUCUUUUGAUUUUGUACUCUGAGAUAUGAAAUUUUGUUAACAAACUUAAUCUUUGGUAUUGAUGAUUUUAAUAAAAAUUUGUUUCAGAAUAAACUUCAUCAAAACUUCAAUAGGAUCUGUCAAAAGACUACAUAAAUUACACAGGCCAACGAAAUGAAGCUGAGUUUUUUACAGUGUACCAACAUACAUAUUUUUCAGUCUCUGUAAAUUAACUACAACUCUCUAAAAUCUCAGUAUUAAAUAAGCUUUUUUAUUAUUUCUUAAUUUUCUCUAAAACUUUAUAAAAUAUUAAUCUACUAGUUAUUUUCAUAUCAAUAAAUGUACAAAUUAUUAUAAAUUUAUAUAAUAAAAAAUAUAAUUAGGCAAAUUUAUUUGUUAUUAAUGGUAAUAAACCAGAUGCAGCAGCUUUUUAGGUUGUCUAAUUUUUCUCUCCUUUUUGUUGUUAUUUUAUUACAAAAAAAUUUUAGUUAAAUAAAAUUUUGUUAAAUAAGACUUUGGUUGUUAAUUUAUAUAUAGUACAAUUUUUGUUGUUAAAUAUUUGUAAAAUAAUAAAAAAAAUAGCUAAAGCCAUAAAGUUAUAAAAAAAAAAACAAACGCUGAAAAAGACGAU